GAUGAACGCUGGCGGCGUGCUUAACACAUGCAAGUCGAACGGUGAACGAGGGAGCUUGCUCCCUCCGGAUCAGUGGCGAACGGGUGAGUAACACGUGAGCAAUCUGCCCUGGACUCUGGGAUAAGCGUUGGAAACGACGUCUAAUACCGGAUACGAGGCGUGGGGGCAUCCCCAACGCCUGGAAAGAACUUCGGUCCAGGAUGAGCUCGCGGCUUAUCAGGUAGUUGGUGAGGUAAUGGCUCACCAAGCCUACGACGGGUAGCCGGCCUGAGAGGGUGACCGGCCACACUGGGACUGAGACACGGCCCAGACUCCUACGGGAGGCAGCAGUGGGGAAUAUUGCACAAUGGGCGAAAGCCUGAUGCAGCAACGCCGCGUGAGGGACGACGGCCUUCGGGUUGUAAACCUCUUUUAGCAGGGAAGAAGCGAAAGUGACGGUACCUGCAGAAAAAGCACCGGCUAACUACGUGCCAGCAGCCGCCGUAACAC
rnacentral:rRNA from 1 species